AGUGAACGCUGGCGGCAGGCCUAACACAUGCAAGUCGAACGGCAGCACGGUAAGUGCUUGCUGUUGCCGGUGGCGGGUCGCGGGAGGAUGACGACUGCAUCGGACUCUACUUUUUCGUUAGGGCUAACGAAGGGGGACUUACACCAAUAACGCAUACGACCUAAGAGCGAGAGCCCGGCAUCUUCCGCCCUUGCGCGUUUGCCUGUGGCGAUUUCGGAUUAGCUAGUUGGAGGGGUAAAGGCCUACCAAGGCGACGAUCUGUAGCUGGUCUGAGAGGACGACCAGCCACACUGGAACUGAGACACGGCCCAGACUCCUACGGGAGGCAGCAGUGGGGAAUUUUGGACAAUGGGCGAAAGCCUGAUCCAGCCAUGCCGCGUGUGUGAAGAAGGCCUUCGGGUUGUAAAGCCCUUUUGUUGGGAAAGAAAAGCUUCAGGUUAAUACGGUGCUGGGAUGACGGUACCGAAAGAAUAAGCACCGGCUAACUACGUG
rnacentral:rRNA from 1 species